UACGUAGGUGGCAAGCGUUUGUCCGGAAUUACUGGGCGUAAAGAGCGCGCAGGCGGCUGGUCAAGUCCGAUGUGAAAGCUUCCGGCUUAACUGGGAAAUUGCAUCGGAAACUGAUCGGCUUGAAGGUGGGAGAGGGUAGUGGAAUUCCCGGUGUAGUGGUGAAAUGCGUAGAUAUCUGGAGGAACACCGGUGGCGAAGGCGGCAUUCUGGACCGAAACUGACGCUGAUGCGCGAAAGCCAGGGGAGCAAACGGG
rnacentral:rRNA from 1 species